CAACACUUCCAAGGCCUAUAAAGACUUCAGCACAUCCUUCGAGAAACAGAUGAAGGAGAUUUACAAGAAUGUUCCCGAGUAUAAUGGCGUGGAGAUCCGGUCUCUGAGUGCAGGCAGCAUCGUGGUGGACUAUAUUGUCCUGCUAAAGCUGCCCUUUAGCACCGAC